CCUACGGGUGGCUGCAGUGGGGAAUUUUCCGCAAUGGGCGAAAGCCUGACGGAGCAAUACCGCGUGAGGGAUGACGGCCUAUGGGUUGUAAACCUCUUUUUUCAGGGAGGAAAAAAAUGACGUUACCUGAAGAAUAAGCAUCGGCUAACUCCGUGCCAGCAGCCGCGGUAAGACGGGGGAUGCAAGUGUUAUCCGGAAUCACUGGGCGUAAAGCGUCUGUAGGUGGUUUAAUAAGUCAACUGUUAAAUCUUGAGGCUCAACCUCAAAACCGCAGUCGAAACUAUUAGACUAGAGUAUAGUAGGGGUAAAGGGAAUUUCCAGUGGAGCGGUGAAAUGCGUAGAGAUUGGAAAGAACACCGAUGGCGAAGGCACUUUACUGGGCUAUUACUAACACUGAGAGACGAAAGCUAGGGUAGCAAAUGGGAUUAGAUACCCUUGUAGUC
rnacentral:rRNA from 1 species